CUGCUGCCUUCCGUAGGAGUUUGGUCCGUGUCUCAGUACCAAUGUGGGGGGGUUAACCUCUCAGUCCCCCUAUGUAUCGUCGCCUUGGUGAGCCGUUACCUCACCAACCAGCUAAUACAACGCAUGCCCAUCAUCAACCACCGGAGUUUUCAACCCCAUGCGAUGCCGCAUGAGAUAUUAUGGGGUAUUAGUACCAAUUUCUCAGUGUUAUCCCCCUGUUGAUGGUAGGUUGCAUACGCGUUACGCACCCGUGCCG
rnacentral:rRNA from 1 species